rnacentral:lncRNA from 1 species
CUUGAGUGGAACUUGACAGUGCCCACACCUUACGUCUUCCUUGUCCGAUUCGCCAAGGCCGCGUCCUCCUGAGAUAAGAAGAACGGCAAGGAGGUAAAAGGAACACCAGAUUUUUAGCAAAUUCUUCAGAUGUAGUACGUAUCUUCCAUUUUGCCAAAGCAGUGAGUCUAUGUGCUGAAGUUUCUCGCGUCUUCUCUUGGAUGUAUUUGUCUAAAUGGAGAGCACUGUCUUUUUUGUGUGGAGCUGGCGCUGCUGCAGUAUGGACAGGAACAAUGCGUUGAUGUCGAGCAAAACACAGAGACAAGGUUAGGGAUUUUGUUUUUGUUCUAAAGUAUUUAUCUGCAUGCGUAAGUUUGAAGAUUGUUGUAGAGCGAGUUCAAGUGUGGUUUCGUGAAAAAAUUCUCGGUUUUGCACACCAGCCCCUUUGCUUUGCACAUUGCUUGGUUAUGCAUGACUGCUGAUGGAUGCAGCAAGCGUUUAUAUUAGUUUGAUCUUGUGCAAGACUCAAUUUUGUCUCGGUUUUCGUGGAUGCUAGCUGGCAAUACGUCCAACAUUCUUGCGGCGAUAGCGGCCACCACUAAGGGCAUUUGCGUCCAGCACUCGAGCUACAUGCUCGACGGUUGCACACUGCCGACAUGGGCAUGCACAAAGAUAUUAAGUAGAUGUUUGUUAGUUCAGUUUUUUAUUGAUUUACCUUGUUUAAGUAGUAGUGCAGCAAUAAAAGGUGUAGUUGUACUGAAGUUUUAGUUGCUAUAUGAGGAACCCAGAGGCCAUUUAUUUUGGUUUUCAGUUCAACUUGUCUGUUCUUUUCGGUCCGGAUGCUUUAUUGCGCAUAAUCUUGAGGAAAUCCCCAAAAAUCAUGUCUCAUGUGAAUCUUGAUCAGUUCAUCAGUUUGUCAGGAAAAUAUCAUCUACAAGAAGAAUUGCAAUCUCGUAAUGUGAAGUAUGUUGUAGUCUAUACCUGUAGAGUGCAUUUUUGCAGUGCUGGUAUUCGUGGUCACUCUUUUAUGUUAGAAACAAUGGAUAUAUAUUUAUAUUUUGUAGUGUCAGUACUUGAGAACAAAAGGUUCAGUUUCCAAACUUUAAACAGUUCAUCGCAAGCUUUCGGUGUAGCAAGACAUGCGCCAAUGUGUGUGUGCACUUGAUGCAACUCUAUUGCAGUAUAUGAAGUUCAUGCGAUUUUCAUGCAUCAACAAUCUGAUAGAGAGCACCAUUCUUUUCUGAAUUUUGUAUUUAAGAAAUAUCACCCUUUCUAUAUUUUGAACACUAGCUAGUGCUUUCUUUCGUUGUUAUAGUCAAAAAGUAGUACAUGCAUUUAGUUAUGGUGAUAGUGAUACUAACCAGACCAAGCUAGUUCAAUCGUUUUACCAAAUUCUAGAAAUUCUCCAUAUAUGCAAGAGCCAACCGGACGUCUUUGUCUAGCCUGACUUGGGACGGCUUCUUUGCAACUGCAGGUUAGAAAGUUCAACAUGUGAUUGGAAUUCAGUGCAAAAGCUGCAGGUUAGAAGUUCAUCUUCUGUUCUGCCCCUAGAAAGAAGUUUGUCUUGUAAAGGUUGAAGCUAAUGGGCUAGGAAGCUUUAUAAGAAAUUGAUUUGUGUGUUCAUUGAAAAAGUUUGGUUUGCCUGUUCCGUGAAAAUGUCUUGCUAAAGAAAUAUCUCUUGUGCACUUAUUUAUUCGCCUGAAUAUUUGGUUUGAUUCUCAGGUGCGAGAUGGCGGCCGCCGACGUUGCUAAAUCCUUCUACAAACUAGUGGUUGGCUGCUUCGAGCGGUAAAUGUGGUCGGAUUCAGCAGCUAGCUCUUCCUCGAGCAACCAUUUGGAGAAUUUUAUUGUCUUCUUGUGGUGGUGAUUGAUUUUAGGAUCAGUAAAUUUGACAUUGGUAGCUAGCUUGCGUAUGGAACCUGCAAGUUCAAUAUUGGUAUUAGAUUUAGUUUCUUGUUGUACAAAUGUCCCAGUUCAGCUACAGAAAUCAUGCAGGUUUAGUGAUGAUGAUACCAUAAGUUCGGACAAGAAAAUUUAUGUAUAUGAUGAGAUGAUUGCUACUUCUUCAAAGAAGGUAUUGUACAUGACAGCUUGAUGUGCAUACAAGAAUAAAGAAAAUGUUUGAAUCAAAAAUAUUGAUCAGUACUAAUUAAAAACAAU